rnacentral:piRNA from 1 species
UAAGAGAAAUCAUAUGAUGUUGAUUUUGAA